GUCCAGGUCGCCAAGGGGUUGAAGGCGUCGGUCUGCAAAAUCGAUAUCGUGGGUUCAACUCCCACCCUGGACUCCA
rnacentral:tRNA from 1 species